rnacentral:rRNA from 1 species
UGGGGAAUUUUGCGCAAUGGGGGAAACCCUGACGCAGCAACGCCGCGUGAGUGAUGAAGGCCUUCGGGUCGUAAAGCUCUGUCAGAGGGAAAGAAGUGCAGUGGUGCUAAUACCAUCAUUGCUUGACGGUACCCUCAAAGGAAGCACCGGCUAACUCCGUGCCAGCAGCCGCGGUAAUACGGAGGGUGCGAGCGUUGUUCGGAAUUAUUGGGCGUAAAGCGCGUGCAGGCGGUCUUUUAAGUCUGAUGUGAAAGCCCCGGGCUCAACCUGGGAAGUGCAUUGGAAACUGGGAGACUUGAAUACGGGAGAGGGUAGUGGAAUUCCUAGUGUAGGAGUGAAAUCCGUAGAUAUUAGGAGGAACACCGGUGGCGAAGGCGGCUACCUGGACCGAUAUUGACGCUGAGACGCGAAAGCGUGGGGAGCAAACAG